rnacentral:misc_RNA from 1 species
GUCAAAAAUUGAACCACAAGCCCCCAAAGUGUUGAAGCGUGAAAUCUCAUGGCACUUUCUUGUAAUUUUCCCAAUAUUGAAUUAUUGCCAAGUGUGAAAUUUAACUGAUUUUCACUUCACUUUCCUCCCAAAGUUUGGAAGCAAGGAAUUGAUGGACCAAGUGGAGAAUUUUCAUCCUUCAUUUUCCUCUCCCCUACCUUCCCUUCUCUUCCAAACAAGGGAUAGUGGAAUCUUUUCAAAGUUUUCCUCAAUUUUUCUACACCCUUUCAAAAUAGGGUUAAUGUUCUAAGAGAAUUUCUUUUACAUUCCACCAGUUAUCUAGGUUUUUUAGAUUCAUAAUUCAUUAUCUUGUAAUCCCCUACACAGGACAACAGAACAAAGUAAUCACUUCCUGUACACCAGGCUUCUAUUCUGUUUCUACGCUAGAACCAGCAAAUUGAGAAGGAGAUGGGUAGGGGGGUGUGGUGGGAAAAGAAGGGAAGGGAAGAACAUAGAGAUCUUCAAGCAAACCAAAAAGCAAGUAGAGGUGUGAUCAA